UGAAGAAAUAAUAUAUUUCAGAAUAUACAGUGUUAGAGUAUUGUAUGCAGAGUAGGGUUGUGAGUAGACACACUCAUCAGUCAUUACAGUGCAUACACACACAACCCAUUGUGUGAUAAUUACACACAACACCAACAACAGGAUGCACACUAACUGACACAAGAAAUCAGGAAAAGAUGGCGGACACGAACGGAUUCAGUGUGCCGGAGAUCGAGCUCAUUAUCAAGGCGUCUGGAAUAGAUGGGCGUAGGAAGGGAGCUUGUAUAUUUUGUCAA